AGAUCUGGUAGCAUUGAUGCUGAGGAAUGUUCAUAUCACUUUGGAAUACAUAUUGCCCUGCAGUCUAGAAAACACACUUGUAUGUAUCAAUAUCUUUCCUCUGUGAGCUGUUAUUGUCAUAGACCCGGGCCUGCAAGAAUAUUUAUUUCAAAGCUCAACAGCCACUAGUAAGGCUGUAACAUAGAUCGAGAGCCGUAUGCCAUGCAACAGGUGAGACCAGCAAGCAAGUACAGAUCCAGAAGUGAAAUUAUUGGUGUGCAAAUGGAAGUGCCAACUCCACUAUCCCGCCCAUUUUCAUACAAAAAUAACAUGCAAGAUCAUGUAUGGAGCUGAGGACAGAAAGAUGUGGAGCUGUUUUGUGCUGGAGCUGAAAUGACGGUACGGAUGCUCAGCGCCUUGGGAGGUGGUUUGGAAGCCAAGUUACAGCCGAGCUGUUCAAGGGAUAGAAUGGGAGCUGGGGAGGAGAACCCUGCUGCUGCCGCCACUCUUGCGUGAGAUUCUUCUGCGUUCCAAAAACCAACAUGGACUGGAAUGGCUUUUUGAAAAGAAGAGAUUCCCCCCUCCAUGCUCCUCUGAUGCCUUGGCCACACAAGUAGAGAGAGCCCGUGUCUUACAAAUAAAAUGUACCAAAAAGUACGGUGAAAUAAAGACGGUUUGAGG
rnacentral:lncRNA from 11 species